rnacentral:lncRNA from 1 species
CAAUAUUUUACCAAGAAAGGGUACUAAAAAGCCUUUCUGAUUUUUAAUACAAUUCUCUAGUGAACUUUCUGUUCCCACCAUUAAAUCAGUCCUAACUAGAUCAACUGAAUUGUGCUGCAGUUCAUGUCAAGUUGUUCAGAGUAUUGUUUUCCACUUCCACUUGUGAAGUAGGUCUGAAAAAGUCUUGCCAAGUGCAUGCCUGUACUCCCAAGGACUCAGGAGGCUGAGGCAUGAAGAUCAUGAGUUCAAAGCCAGCUUCAGCAAUGGGGAGGCCUUAAGCAACUCAGUGAGACCCUGUCUCUAAAUAAAA